GGGCGGAUGAUAUUUUUCAUUUUCGCGCACAAAACCAAAAACCAAUAUUGGUGUAUUACACUCUCUCUCCUUAAUCUGAAAAGCUUCCACCGUCCCAAACCACCGUCCUCUCUCUCGAAACCACCGUCCUUCAAUCCACCGCAUAAGCACUCUCUCUCUCGAAACCACCAUCCUUCCACUCUCUCUCUCUCUCUCUCGAAGCAAGCUUCAGUCACUCUCUCUCUCUCUCGAAAUCCAAACCAGCUUCCGUCAAAAUCAAAGCUAACUAUCAAGACCUAGGAACUAUGGAUCGGAAAUGAGUGUUUGCGAAUCGAGCGUCAAAGGAGUACAUAGAAGGAGUGGAAGAGUUUGUUGAGACACAAGUUUAAGAAUAAGCUGAUUUUUGCACCGGUCAAUGUAGGAUGGAUGCAGGCUAAAUCAUUGGGUGUUGCUUGUCAUCAAUCCCGGAGCUGAGAUGAUAUAUUAUAUGGAUUCAUUGCCGGGGGGACAUCCUAACAUUGACGUUGUAAGAAAAAAGUUCAUGAAUGCCAUGUGUAUUUGCCGUUGCCUACAUCCCAAGUUAAAAUCAAAUUCAAGUAUAAUCCCAUGGAUAGAAAUAAAGUGUCCUAUGCAAACUAAUGGCAUUGACUGUGGUUAUUUUGUCAUGCGAUUUAUGAAAGAGAUAAUAUUGGCAAAUCAAGACAUGAUCCCCGAAAAUUACUUUGGAGAUUACAAAUGUAAAACCUAUUCUAAAGAUAAGCUAGUUGAGGUCGAGGAGGAUUGGACAACCUUUAUGGUCGAGUGUCUUAGUGAGUUUCAUUUUCUUUUCCAACAAUUUUCAUUUGCGUUUUUUAAUUGAGUUAUUUUAAAUUGCAAUUGGUUGUGCUGAAAAUUUUAUGUUAAUUAAUUUUAUGACACAUGAGACUAUAUUGCUCAGAGACUUAAACUGUAAUUGGUUGUGCUGGACUAUAUAGCUCGUCACGAGUCCUCUAAAAUUUAGGUGUUUUUUUGUUUGUAAUUGUGGCUGCUUUUAGGAGCUUUUUUUUUUAUUGGCAAGUUUGGAUUGACUAGUAUUAUGACAUUCAGGAUUAAAUUUAUGAUCAAUUUAUAUUGAGAUUAUCAUGAAUGUAAUUUGCUAUAUUCAUAUUUCA